UGCAUGUGUUAUCGGGUCAGGCCCACACACACGAUGGUCAGUUUCCUAGCCCUGCCCCCAGCUCUGCCAGUGCUCACCCAUCAGAAGACUUACCUUAUCUUCCCACACCCGAGUCUCCUUUAUUGAAGACAGGGGUUCCUAACCAUGGGACAUGAGUGCAUUAUCCUGGGGUAAAGGAAUGGUGCUGCUGUGGCCAGGGGAGAGAAGCCUGAGGGGCUGAGGGCAUCGCUGUCCUUCUCAAAUCCUCACCAAGAGAUGCUCUGAUUUAAGGCGAGCCCCCCCCCGCUGGGAGAGCAAAAGAAGCUGCGCCGACACAGUUUGCUCAAGUGACAUCUUUCAAUAUAAUCUCUAAAACUCUAUGAAUUGAACAGAUAAAAUACCUCUGGGCUAUUUUGUUACAAAAUAUUUGCCAUUUGGAUUAGUUGCUGGGUGCAGCCACCCUGCCUUUCCCUAGAGAGGUUUCUCUCUCUUAUGGGUGACGGGUGUGCGGGGAGAGGGUGCAGCAGGAGGUAUGUACAGCAGACACAGGGACGGACAGACAGGUGGUCAUCAGGGAAGCCUAGUGGGUACAAAGAGACUCCUGGCGGGCUGUGGGGACCGGUGGCACAGGGGCUCGAAGACGCAGGGCUGGAUCAAGACACCUGUGCAGACGGGCAGGCAGGCAGGCUUCCAGGACACGCUGCUGGCAGGGCUUGCUUCAGAUCUAGGGGUGGGACUUGUCCAAAAGUGGGUGGAAAACUAGUUUCAUCUCCCAUUCCCGACUCCGGAGUUGGGGCCGAAUGGAUCAAAUCAGGAGAGGGACCCAGAUUUCCCAAAGGUCUAGAGAGUGGAUAGAGUGGGGCCAUCUUGGGGUGACUGGGUCUGGGGCUCAGCACUCUACUGUCCCCGCAACCUUAGGAGAGCAGGAAGGCCUGAGAGCACCCCCCACCGGCCCUCUGGGGGCUGGAGGCCAUGCCCUGUCUGCUGCCGUGGGGAGGGAACAGGAGGCUUUUCCUAGGUCCCUGAGGUCUAGACUCUGGGGACAGGGACGGAAAGGGGUCCCAACCUUGACCUGGGGACUGAGCAGGGAAGGGAGGUUACAGAUGUUGGGCACUUGCUUCCCCUGACAAUGAGGAGGGCCAGCUGUGUCCUGCCCCAGGCCCUCAGGGGUUAAAUGCCCCUCCCAGCUCAGGACUGGCUCCACGGGAUGCUGAGCCCGGCUGGGCUGCUUCCUGGACAGACUCCUUGUGCUGCCCAUGGGGCCCAGGGCAGCCACUGCACCAACCCACGGGGGCCCUGAGGUGCCUGAGAGUCCGGGUUCUCAGCUAGAGGCCCAGAUGCAUGCCAGCCCUAAGACUUGCUGGUUCCAAUUUGGAAGAUUGGGGCUUCAGCUGAGGUGGGAGGGAGGGCCUGGGGUUGCUGUGCCAACAGGGGAGAGGGCACUUGGUAAGCUUGAAGAGCUGUGUGAGCAGGGGACGGGGUCCUGCCUGGCGGGCCAGGGCUGUCUGGGAGAGUGUCCCUGGCCCCCACGGCCCCCACCCCAUAAGUAUAUUUAGCUCAUAGUUCCUAUUCCCCCAUACCUCACACUCCUGCCUCUUAGUCAUCGUUUUCAUUCUAUUUUCAGCUUCCCUCAUUUUGAUUCCUCCACUCCCAUCCCCACAGCUCCACCUCCUCCCAAGUCCCUGACUCCUCCUGUCCAGGCCUUCACUUUAAGGACGAUCCCUGCCCUGGCUAAGGGCAUCAGAGGUGUCUGAAUGCGUGCACCCCAUCUGUCGUCUGCUCCACUCUGAAAGGCAAUGACUGGAGCAUCUCUGUUACAGAAAACAGAGGAGGGCCAGGGCAGCAAGGACACAGAGGGGCAGAUGGGCUGGCAGCCACAGGGGAGAGGGCAAAUUGGCUGCAAGUUACAGAAACUGGGCCGACGAAGACAGGGCCAGAAAUAGAUUCACUAGGUGAUAUCACAGUGACGUCUGGGUGACCACACACACACACGAAACGAAACUAGGUCAUCUGGAACCUCUGAGAGCAGGGAAUGAUCCUUGCCUCCUACCUGGCCUGGCUACUGCAGGCGGGGCGGGGCGGGGAGAUUCAAGUCCCUGUCACGUUUGACUCAUGCUCACUGCCUCUCCCAGGAGGCCUUAACCACAGGCUCCAAGCGUGGGGGGACCUGCACACAGGACAGCAGUGAGCUACUGGCACAGGACUGGAGCCUGGCCAGGCUUGGGACAGACACGUCCUGAUAGGGCCUGACUGCGCAGGCCAUGGUACGGCUCCUGUGGUCUCUGGGGUGGCUGCCUCUCGUCUGGCUGGGGAGGGGCCCUUCCCCAGGCUUGGGCUUGUGGGGCCACCUAAGGCUGGCUAUCCCAUCUUGCUGGGCCCUGGGAGGUCAGCGAGCCCCGCUUGUGUCUCCUUUGCAAUUUUGAGGGUCCAGGGACUCUUGGGCACCCCUGCUGGAAGGGGGGGGGUCUAGAACCUUCUAGGAGGAGGGAAUAUUUAAAGGCUGAGGGGCGCAGGGGAAAUGCAUAUGCCUCUGGAGCCCCGGUUUUUCUUGCUUACGUCUGCACCCAAGUCCCUCCUGGAGGCCACAGACUCAUGCGGGAGGGAGCCCUGCCUCGGGCCGAGCCCCAUCUCUGCUGGGCACAACCCUGCCCCGUCUCCAGUUCUGCCUCCACAGCGGAAGGAAUGGUCUGGNUCUCAUGUGUGUUUGCGUGCACAUGCCUGUGUGCACACGGCAUUGGCCGAGUAUUAGCUGGGGCUGGGGAACUAAGACACUCUUUAAAAAGGUGCAUUUUGCAGAUACAUGACCUCGCAAUCCCGUGGCCCUGCUGGACUGACCUACAGAGAGCCAAAAGUGCUCCCCUUCCCGUCUCCCUUUCUCCAGGCUUUUCUGGAGUCUGGGCAGCUCCUGAGGAAGCAGAGGCCCUGGGAGGAGGGGGAAGGACAUGGUCAGGACAGCCAACGUCCCUGGGGACCAAGGAGUAGCCUCCUGAGAGUGCCAGGCUUGGGGGUGGGGGUGGCAGAAAAAGUCCCCUCCUCACUCCUCCCACCUGUCCCUCCAGGGGCGGGACCAACCCUCCUCCCCUCAGCGCAGCCACAGAGGCACUAGUUCUGGACUGAGAGCCAGCCACUCUGUCUAGUGCUCCACUGCCGGCCGGCCCAGCCUCACGCUGCUGCCCAUGGCCCGAGGGCCCCGGGCACUAACAGACUCAAAGCCUGCACGCUCGUUAGCUCACGCUGCUGCCCAAGGCCCGAGGCCCCAGGCACUAACAGACUCAAAGCCUGCACGCUCGUUAGCUCACGCUGCUGCCCAUGGCCCGAGGCCCCGGGCACUAACAGACUCAAAGCCUGCACGCUCGUUAGCUCACGCUGCUGCCCAUGGCCCGAGGCCCCGGGCACUAACAGACUCAAAGCCUGCACGCUCGUUAGACCCUCAGCUCGUUUUCUUCAGUCCAUGGUCCAAUGGGGGAAAGUGGUGGCCAGGGGAAGAGGAGGCCUCGCCGGGUCUGGCUGUGUAGGGCCCCGGGAGAGUGAGGUGUGUCUUCAGAUCUGCAGAGGGGGUGCAGCUGAGAAAGGGAAGGAUGGUUGGAUGAGGCAAACCCAGGUGCCAGGGAUUGGGAUUCUCUUCCCAAAAUGAUGGUGAUCAGUGACCAGGAACGCAUCGUGCCAGGGUAUGGGGAGCAGUGGAGGGGCAGCCCAGGCCCCCCAGUAGCCAGCCCUCCCGGGACAGCAGGGUGGUGGGGCAGAGUCUAUACCAGGCUCCUUGAGCCACUGGAGUAGCGGCGCCCGUGCAGCAGGGAGCCUGGGGGACAGAACUGGUGAGGGUGGUUGUAGGGGGGUGGGGGCGGGGGCAGCGGAGGCUGGUGGGUGACCUUGACCGGAGAGCCGGGGCCACGCAGGGGUGUGGAGCCGCAGGAGUCAGAGGAAGAGGAGGUGUAGCAGGAGAGAGCCUGGCUCAGCAGGGGCUCCAUGCGGGCCAGGCAGGGCUUGUCCAGGACAAUGACCUUGACAAUUUGUUGGCACUGCACCAGGGUGCCCGGGGGUGUGGGUGGCGGCGGCGGCAGUGGUGGGGUCUGCUGUCUCGGGGGGCUAGGCUGCAGGUCUGGCGGCGGCACCGGCGCUCCCCUCUCGGCCCCCGGCCCGGAGUUGUGCUGGGACGUUUGAAGCCUGUUGUGAAUUGACACCUAGUUUAGAAACAGCCAGAGAAGCAUGCAAUGUUACAAGACUAAUUCCCAGCUGCUAGGACAGGCUGCCCUGUGCCUCCCCU
rnacentral:lncRNA from 1 species